CGAACGCUUUUUCUUUCACCGGAGCUUGCUCCACCGAAAGAAAAAGAGUGGCGAACGGGUGAGUAACACGUGGGUAACCUGCCCAUCAGAAGGGGAUAACACUUGGAAACAGGUGCUAAUACCGUAUAACACUAUUUUCCGCAUGGAAGAAAGUUGAAAGGCGCUUUUGCGUCACUGAUGGAUGGACCCGCGGUGCAUUAGCUAGUUGGUGAGGUAACGGCUCACCAAGGCAACGAUGCAUAGCCGACCUGAGAGGGUGAUCGGCCACACUGGGACUGAGACACGGCCCAGACUCCUACGGGAGGCAGCAGUAGGGAAUCUUCGGCAAUGGACGAAAGUCUGACCGAGCAACGCCGCGUGAGUGAAGAAGGUUUUCGGAUCGUAAAACUCUGUUGUUAGAGAAGAACAAGGAUGAGAGUAAAAUGUUCAUCCCUUGACGGUAUCUAACCAGAAAGCCACGGCUAACUACGUGCCAGCAGCCGCGGUAAUACGUAGGUGGCAAGCGUUGUCCGGAUUUAUUGGGCGUAAAGCGAGCGCAGGCGGUUUCUUAAGUCUGAUGUGAAAGCCCCCGGCUCAACCGGGGAGGGUCAUUGGAAACUGGGAGACUUGAGUGCAGAAGAGGAGAGUGGAAUUCCAUGUGUAGCGGUGAAAUGCGUAGAUAUAUGGAGGAACACCAGUGGCGAAGGCGGCUCUCUGGUCUGUAACUGACGCUGAGGCUCGAAAGCGUGGGGAGCGAACAGGAUUAGAUACCCUGGUAGUCCACGCCGUAAACGAUGAGUGCUAAGUGUUGGAGGGUUUCCGCCCUUCAGUGCUGCAGCAAACGCAUUAAGCACUCCGCCUGGGGAGUACGACCGCAAGGUUGAAACUCAAAGGAAUUGACGGGGGCCCGCACAAGCGGUG
rnacentral:rRNA from 1 species